UAGAGUGUGAUCAAAGCGCCAGCACUCCAAUCUUUGACCCUAAUAAGUAGCCAACGCCCUCAGACGCUGGGCCGGAUUUGGCGUUCGGGCUGCGGCGUGAGGCUUUCAAGCGCUCGCACGAAUUUUACUGCGAGCUCGAAAAGGGGGCGCCGCCUUCGCGGCCCAACUGUCCUCCCCAUCCCCAACUGUUGCCCCUUCCGGCCACCGGCUGCAGCCUUGCUCGGCUCCUAGGCUCUCGGGUCAACGGUCGCGGGCAGAGAAGCCCACGGAGACCUCGCGUAGAGCAGCCCCGCGUCCCCGGAAGCUCGGGCUCUCGGGCGCCGGGCUGCGGCGUUCUGGGAGGUCGCGCUGAGCGCUCCGCGGCCCGGCCCACCGCAUCACUCACGACCGGUCCCCGCCGGGCCGCCCCGGUCCCUGGAAGACAGAGGGAAUGAAGAAUAUUCUACAAUGGAGAUUUCGUAGAAAGGGUACUCUCCAAGGCAGCAAUUACCAGGCACGACCUUUUGGGUUUUGAGGCUGCUUCCUAGGAAUGUCCGUUCCUUGGCUACAUCAUCAGAGAAUCAGAGAGUUGAGGAUUGCCACCAGCACCACGAGGCCUAUGGGUACUUCUUGCUCAUCCAGACGAGGUGGCAGACAAUGACCAGUACGGCUGUGGGAACAAUGCUGUGUACUACAGCUACUUAGGCACGAUUAUCAACCCGUACCCAAUGAGGUUACUUACUGAAGAGUGGUUGCCUCAGUCAGAAGACCUCCUUGCUGACCAGAACCUCUCCAAGGUAAAUUUAACAGCUGCUUUAAAUCCCUUCAGGCUGAACCUUUAUGGCCCCUGGAAUCUCCUAGGGAAAAUAGGAAGAUUCUGGAAAGAAUCAGGCACUAACUAACCCAUUUUCAGUCAUCAGCACUUAGCACAGAUUUGUUUAUCAGAUAGGCAUUGGCUUCUUGGGGAGAAGAAUAAAGAGACUGGGAUGUGGAGACAGGUGGGUGUUACAGGUGGGAAGUUUUAUGGGGUUUUGGGGUCACGUGGGGUGGCUGUGAAUGUCUUUACAACACAGCGUUCUGAUACUGUGCUCAACCCAGGCUUGGAUAAGAUAGGGUAUAAGGGUGACAGGGAACACAUCAGGUACUGGUUUAUUUCAUUUGUUAGUGAAUAUUAGUCAUUCUUUUUGGCUGUUAGCAACUGAACACAUUUCCUAUAAUUGCAGAAAACUCCUCACUCCCAACACACACGUUUAGAAGCUGAAAAUGCCAGAUACUUAUUCUCCCAGCCUCCUUUGCGCCUAAGAUGCUGGCAUAGGACCCAGGCUUUGUCAAUGCACCUGCCUCAGGCUGUGGAUCAGCAGCUACCGAUGUGUUGAUGUAGAGACUGCAGAAUCCAUUCUGGCCAAGACGGAGGACCAAUGAGAGCUACAUCCCGCUUGAGGUGGCAACCAUGACAGUGACCCUGUGUCAGCGUCCAGAGUGUGUCCGGGGAUAGUGGCCGUGGCAGAGUUUUCUUCGGGGACUCGUUCUGGGAUGUGCUUUCAGGUGUUGUUCCUGGCAACAUAAGCUUUAGAUCCAUUCUCCAGUCCUUCUCGAGCUCUGUGGGCUCUCCAAAAUCCUUUCAGUAAAUCCCUUUUCUUCCUAAAUUCACCAGACUUCAUUUCUAUGGGUUGCAAUGAAAAAUCCUGAUUAACAUACAUAUAUAAUAUACUUAAAUCCUCACAACCACCCUAUGAGGUAAUCUACCUAUUGCUUGCAUUUUAUGAAAACGAGACUCAAGUGCAAGGGUGGGGGUCAGGCAAGCCUGAGUUGCAGAGUAGAUAUUUCAAAGUAGGAGCAUUGAACUUCAGCAUUCAGGCUCUUUUUCCAGGGCAAGGUAAGUGUGAGUAUGCUGAGAAGACCUCACUGCUCUACCUGCCGGCGGGACUGGAGCGUGGCCUGGCUGAACUGGUCAGGAGAAAGGAGCACUAGGAAACACGCCCCUGUGUCACCUCUGCUAAUACACGAAGUUCACUGUCAACUACAUGGGGACUAUAGAAAUGUAUGGUACCACAAGAGCAGUAACUACAACCAUGAUGAUGACCACAGUGUCUGGCUAGGGGCAGUAAAGGCCUGGGUUAUUCCAUGGCACAUUCCACAAGUGCUGUGAAGCAGCCAGUAACUUCUGAGUCCUCUCCAGCUAUAUUUUGCAAGAGAACUCAAUUCAGUCCCUACUACUGCAGUGGAAAUGUCUGUCUCUUUCGUCUUCAGCCCAACAGCAAGAGAUAAGAAGCACCGUGCGACUCCCUGCUUUGCUGAGGUGCCCAGUGGGGAAAAACAACUUCGAUUCAAGGCACAGGAUGGGUUUGUGUUACUCUGGAAGACUUGAAGAACUGCCUCUUUAGCUUGGCUUACCAAAACAAUUUUCUUCUUUUUGAAGAUUUUGGAGGUGGUUGUAGCUAAUGCUGCAGGGUCUCCCUCUCUCCCUCCAGAUCUUCCAAAAUCCCCCCAGAACUUUGGAAUUAAACACACACUUGUUAAACUUUAUGACUGUGUGAUAAAAGAUUACAAAGCAGAGUUAUAAGAAAGUAAACAGGUGACUACCAACCUCACCAGUCUGCAACCACAGCAGGGAGGAACUCUACGCAUGAACUUGGUAGGGUAGGAAUGGUUCAUUCUAGUUGCUCAUGAGCUUUGGAAGUAAAAAAUUUUUCUUGAACUUUUUCAGUAAACGGAUCCGGGAAAGGUAUUUGUCUUGGAGUGUGUGUCGUUUUAAAAUAAUUCACAGUCAGAAAACAUACUUGCUUCUCCCUCACUUUCCAUUAGGAAUUGAAUUUCAUUCCACCAUUAGCCCGUAGGGUUUAUUUCAAAAGAAAUGUCCACUCAAUGGCUUAAUGUAAAAGCAUGGUUGAUAUCAGUGUGAUACACGUGCCAAGCCCUCAGCUGGGCAUUUAGGCUGAUGGGAGGGUUCACAGCCUGCUGGCCAGUCAGGUGGUAUGGACCCUUGGUCACACUUCCUCCCCCUGUGCCUGUGACCAUGCUCCUUAAUUGCUUAGAAGGAUAAGAGAUACAAGAAUAAAAUAGUUAAGGAGACACCUUGGGAAGAAUGGCUCCUAUGGCAAAGGAAAAUUACUAAAAGAAAUAUACCGGUUAUCUCCUGCUUCUGUAGCUCUUUUUCUUAGUCCUGCUGUUACUGGCAAAGGAAGCCCAACGGAUUAAAAGUGGUGAAGGUUUGCUGCAUUUCUAACAUGCUUUGGAAGUUUUGUAAUUGUGAGGAAGGAGUCCUGUAAGGAUGAGAAACGCUGGGCAAUGGGAAGAUCCUUAUUCUUGUUCCUGUGUCGGGUGAUGAUUUACAAGUGCAAGUUCUGGAGCGGGAGGCUGGGGUGGAACUGUGGCAUUUUGUAAAAAGGCCUUAGGGCUUCCCUGGUGGCGCAGUGGUUGCGAGUCCGCCUGCCGAUGCAGGGGACACGGGUUCGUGCCCCGGUCCGGGAAGAUCCCACAUGCCGCGGAGCGGCUGGACCUGUGAGCCAUGGCCGCUGGUCCAGAGCCUGUGCUCUGCAGCGGGA